CGCCGUCUGCACCAUUAAUAUCUAAGGAGGGAGGUUAAGUUAUUUUUGUCCCCGCUCUGCAACAAAAGGUGUGGACGGUUUAUUGAACUACAACUCAAAAGGCCUGUGGGAAGGUCCCUUGUUUUCUUCACUUCUUGUGGUAAGAUAUUUUAAGAACUUCUUGACAAACUCCACUGUAAGAGCUAAGCUCCAUUUAAUGUGUCUCUUCAUCUGUUUCUCAUAUAAUAUCGACUGUGAGCAGUUCAGUUACAAAGAUCGUGUAUAAGUCUAAUGAUUGCUUGCUUGGGAUUUUAGUUGUCCAUAAAUCUGCUGAAAUUAAAAUUAUCUAAAUCAAUAAUAGUGAUGAAAACAACAGAGGAAAUUAUACCCUGUCUAUUAAUGCGAUAUGUGAAUAUCUCAAGUUUAGGAUGCAUUGCUUAAAAUUCAGUAGUAAUAAUAAAAAGUGGUAAUACGUGCUAGUUUCUAAAAGCCCCAUGUACAACUGUGCAAAUGUAGGGGAAAUGCAAACCCUACUUGAAAAUGUUCACCAUCUAAAGUAAUGGACAAAGUGCAGGGUCUAUAAAACAUAACAGCUCCAUGAAUAUUUUUGUUUACCUGCAUUUUUAAAAGUGUGUAUUAGGAUCUGAUGAGCGGUGAAAAAGUGAGCAAGUAGAGGUGAGAUGGAAAAGUUUAUCCAUAGCUUUUUCCUCUUCAGUCACACAAUCUGAGUUUCAUAGAUUUUGUGAGGACUGAUGCAGCGGAAGAGGUAAAAAAGAUGUUCAGCUUUCAUCAAGGCAUUUUGUUCUUGCGAGGGAUGUUCAGAUUUACUUUCUAGGUCAGUGACUGCUUCACAAUAAACCAGUGCUUUUGAGCUACCUGCAGAAGCUGACUGCAAAAUUGCUAGGAUCACAAGUGUUUCACUCAACUGCACUCCAAACACUGUACAUAAUAAUAUUUCUGAAAAUGUUCCCUUCAUCUUGUAGUUCAAAUAUUAGCACUGCUGUUCAGGAUUGUGCUAAAGACCUCCUCAUCCGUGGGAUGGAUCCUGCCAAAAGAACAAGUGUGUCUGCCGAUAAGAGGGGUGGCAGGAACACUGGAGGAGAGAAACAGCAUCACGAGUUCAGUACACAGAGGCAGGUUUACAGCACUGCAAAUUCGGUUGGGUAAUUAAAUCAAAGAUCCUAGAUUUUAAAAUGAAACAUUCCAUAGCAGCCAAACAAGGUUUAACCAACUUUUUUUUUUUUAAAGUAAGUUUGAGGGAAUUUAAUUGCCCAAGUGUCCUGGAGUGCAAAGUGUUUUCCCUGUUUAAUCACUGAGUCUUUCUGGUUUAAGCAGCCCAUACAACAAAAUCAAAUUUGUUAGGUCUCCAGCAAGCUAACAGUUUUUGUAUCUAACAUUUUCCCUUUCAAAGACAAAGAGAUCCAGCUGAAUCCAAAAGACUCAGUUACAUGUAAACCAAAGCUGUCAGUGCAUCCUCAUCCAACCAGGAAGGUGAGAUCCAGUAAGCACAACUGUAAGAGCAGAGAGUACACGGACAAGUGAGCUGCUCCAGGUAUUGUGCAAAGUAGCAGAGGAAUGGAACUGGACACUAUCAGAAUUGUUCACAACUAGCAGAUGUGUUGCAAUAUAAUACUCCAAACUGAAUUUACUUAUGAACAAAAUAGCAAUCUAUCGCUGUAAUUUGCCAAUUAUCUUAAAACCAUCAGGAACACCAGGAAAUGGGGUAGUCCUGUCUGAAGACACAAUUAACUAAAUCUUGUGUCAUCCCAUUUUCAAGGGGCUGUUGGUGUUGAAAAUUCUUAGGCAAUCUUAGUGCUUCCCAAAAUUAACUGUUAGAAGAUCUCAGUAAGUGCAACUAAGUUUCUGUUCAAUACAGUCGUAUCAUUUAUGUUAAGAAAUUAUGUGAAGGCAUCCUUGUAACAUUAAUGAACUUGUCCUGGUUGGAACUAGAACUGAACCAAUUAGCUUUUUAGUAAUCUUGUCUUUCAGUUACAUCUCUUCUGAGUGUACUUUCAGAAAUCAAGAGCAUCUUUUUUCAGUGUCUGCUUCUAGGACUGAUGCUGCUUGAUAUUUCUAUGUACUGCAAAGGUAUGUAGUGGUAUUGCUUAUAUGUAUUCCUGUAAGUAAAACAAAGUUCACUGCUAAACUGCUACUCUGCUGUAAGUGAAAGGGAGUAAAAAGGGUCACAUCUGUGGGAGGAGUGAACUGGGCAGGUGACCCACAGCUGACCAACAAAGUAUUCCAUCUCAUAUGCAUCAUACUCAGUAUAAAGCUGAGGAACACGAGGAUCAAGCUCUCUUCGUCCAUGACCAGUGUCCAAGGAGGACUCUGUCCUUUCUUCUGCCUUUAAUCUUGAUCCAUGUGUUCCUGAACGCAGUUCCUGUCUGCCACUCUCCGGUCUGGAAGUUUUCCAGUGCCUGUGCUGCAGCAUUGGUGGUGACAAUCAUCAUCAGGAGAGAUUGAUGUAUAUGGGUGGUGACAGACUGAACAGCCGUCCAGUCCUUAUCUCUGAAGGAGCUGCAAAUUAUGAGAAAAUACUUGAGAUGUCGUGAAGGUGAGCCACUUAUCAGCUGGUUGCUUCAUCACUGGGAUACCAGGGCCAAUACCAUAAACUUGAAGGUAACUUAGAGAAGGCAAGCAGUUGGGAUACCUGCCCAGAGACAGAGGCAUUGAUGAGGCACUUGAGAGAAAGCCAGAUGCUCGAAGCCUCUGGAGGCAACUCUUGUUAGCCAUAAAGGGCAGGUUUCCCUUUAAGGACAAUAUUUUAUAUUGCUGGAGCAAAUGGACCACUGCAGAAUAAUGUGUUAGUAUCUGAGAGAAUCAGCUGUCCAAGGUAUUAUUUAUAGUGACCCACAGACAAUUAUACAUCCUGAAGAAAUGCCAUGCAACAUACAUACAUUGCAGAAGUUUGUGCAGAGCACACCAUUGACUUAUGCCUGCAUGUUGGCAACAUUGGUCUGGGAAGAAGGUGGCAAGACACUGUCUGUGGGUGAAAUGGCUGGCAAAGCACAGUGGUAUGAAGAUUGUCUCCCUGACCCCCUACAGGCCUCCAUCUCGGCCAUGGAAAAAAUGGCUGAGAAAUAAGAGAACUUAUUUGAAAAACUGUUUGAUAAACUGUCCGAUAGACUGUCCAGGGUGCAGAAUGGACCUAACUCUUCUCCUGCAUGGGCCCAUGCUGCAGCCAUUAGGAGAAGACAUCCUCCUGUGACACUGGCUCAAAAGAGGUGGAACACGACAUGAACUGCCCCAUGGUUUUUUCUAUGUGAUUAUGGAGAGGACAUCAAGAGAUGGGAUGGAAAACCUACAGCUGCCCUACAGGCAUGAGUGUGCAAAUUGCAAGAUAGAACAAAAACGAGAGCGUUUUUCCAGGAGGAUGGCUGUUCCAGUCUCAAGUGAGCAGUUCUCCAGCCAGAGUAGAUGGACUUCAGAUCCCCGAUGUGAUUAUUCCAGUCUGAGAGCCAUCUGAUACAAACAUCUCACUCUCUACCCAGGAAAUGAAGCAGAAGUGUACCUCUGUUGUGGUAUUUCUCAAAGCCUGUGUGUAAAAUUCCCCUCUACCUCUUUAAGUUUCAUGGGUCUUGUUCAGUUUUAUUAUACUUGGUAGCACACAGAGAAUCAGGAUGCACCUGCAAACUCACAGCACGUGAUACUUCCUUGAGCUGAAGGUUCCAAGUUGGCACCAUCCAUGGAGAAUGUUUCACGUAACAAUAGGCUGUUGUUCUUUCCAUUUCAGUGUACAUACAACUAGAGAUUCACCAACACAUAAAUAAAAGGCACUCUCAAAUAACCUCAAACUAUUUGUAUUUCAUGAAGGAAGAGGGGCAGAAUUGUUUGCAUAAUCUAAAAACUAAAUAUGAAGAACCUAAUGUGAAAGAUGUGUGAAUAAACCUUUUCAGUAAAUGCAAUUAAAGGUUUAUACUUGUUUACAAGUAUUUAACAAAAAGUAUUACAUGAUUUUGUCUUCAUGAAUGACCAUUACAUGAAUUUGUAUCAAAUGAUACACAUUAAUUAUAGCUAUC